rnacentral:rRNA from 1 species
UUGAAUUGAAGAGUUUGAUCAUGGCUCAGAUUGAACGCUGGCGGCAGGCUUAACACAUGCAAGUCGAACGGUAACAUAAAGAAGCUUGCUUCUUUGAUGACGAGUGGCGGACGGGUGAGUAAUGCUUGGGAAUCUAGCUUAUGGAGGGGGAUAACUACGGGAAACUGUAGCUAAUACCGCGUAAUAU